rnacentral:rRNA from 1 species
AGCGAACGCUGGCGGCAGGCCUAACACAUGCAAGUCGAACGCCUGUAGCAAUACAGGAGUGGCAGACGGGUGAGUAACACGUGGGAACGUGCCCUUCGGUUCGGAAUAACUCAGGGAAACUUGGGCUAAUACCGGAUACGUCCGCGAGGAGAAAGAUUCAUCGCCGAAGGAUCGGCCCGCGUCCGAUUAGCUAGUUGGUGGGGUAAUGGCUCACCAAGGCGACGAUCGGUAGCUGGUCUGAGAGGAUGAUCAGCCACACUGGGACUGAGACACGGCCCAGACUCCUUCGGGAGGCAGGAGUGGGGAAUAUUGGACAAUGGGCGCAAGCUUGAUCCAGCCAUGCCGCGUGGGUGAUGAAGGCCCUAGGGUUGUAAAGCCCUUUCGGCGGGGAAGAUAAUGACGGUACCCGCAGAAGAAGCCCCGGCUAACUUCGUGCCAGCAGCCGCCGUAA